rnacentral:rRNA from 1 species
UACGUAGGGUGCAAGCGUUGUCCGGAAUUAUUGGGCGUAAAGAGCGUGUAGGCGGCCCGAUUAGUCCGCUGUGAAAGUCCAGGGCUCAACCCUGGAAUGCCGGUGGAUACUGUCGGGCUAGAGUCCGGAAGGGGCGAGUGGAAUUCCUGGUGUAGCGGUGAAAUGCGCAGAUAUCUGGAGGAACACCGGUGGCGAAGGCGGCAUCCUGGACCAACACUGACGCUGAGGAGCGAAAGCCAGGGGAGCAAAGCGGG